rnacentral:rRNA from 1 species
CUAAGAAUAUUCCGCAAUGGACGAAAGUCUGACGGAGCGACGCCGCGUGGAUGAUGAAGGCCGGAAGGUUGUAAAAUCCUUUUAAGUAUGAGGAAUAAGCAGUGUGAGAGAAACGCAUUGUGGUGACUGUAGUACUUGAAUAAGCAACGGCUAAUUACGUGCCAGCAGCCGCGGUAAUACGUAUGGAGCAAGCGUUAUCCGGAUUUACUGGGUGUAAAGGGAGUGUAGGUGGCAUCACAAGUCAGAAGUGAAAGCCCGGGGCUCAACCCCGGGACUGCUUUUGAAACUGUGGAGCUAGAGUGCAGGAGGGGCAAGUGGAAUUCCUAGUGUAGCGGUGAAAUGCGUAGAUAUUAGGAGGAACACCAGUGGCGAAGGCGGCUUGCUGGACUGUAACUGACACUGAGGCUCGAAAGCGUGGGGAGCAAACAGGAUUAGAUACCCUGGUAGU